CAUACUUGAGGAGAAGUUAUCCUUGGUGUGUUCGCUUUAUUUGUGAGGAAUCAUACAAGGACAAUUUCUUUUUGAGUGUC
rfam:Pteropus alecto contig163915, whole genome shotgun sequence.